rnacentral:miRNA from 1 species
AGAUCUCCAUGAACUGAGAAACGG